AUGGAACAUCAUGUCUGGGUGCAUCUCAGGCCCCUGACCAUGCUUGGAGGAGAUCAGAGCUGUCUUCAUGAUGGUGGAGCCCAGCGGAUCGUGGACAGGGUUCUGCUACGCCUUCUGUCUCAAUACACAGUCCGCAAGGGCAAGGCAGGAGUGGUGGCUCAAGACCUCACAGACCUCCUACACCGGUGCUCUUCUGGUUUUCGUGUGUCAUCUGCAAGGUGGUUUGUUGAAGUUCUCUGGCUUGGGGUAGGUGACAGUAUCAUUGUCACCAACCACACUUGCACUCCCAGUGCUGAGUCACAAGGUGAAAUCAAGAAGAAAGAACAAGAAUGUGAAGCCUGUGCUGCAGCCAGCAGAGGAGCUGGACCCCAGAAGCCCCUCGGUGACUAAAUCUAGAUUGUCUCCAUUUCUCAGCUCUUGGAUCUUUUUCCAAACUGAUGAAUUCAUGAAUAGCUAUUUAGGAAGCUUGCUCUAAGGACAUGAGUGAGAUGUCUCCUACCCUUGAGAAGAUGGCGGUCUCCUUGAGCAGACUGAGACUCUGUGGUUAGAGUGUAGGCCAGUAGGGGCUGUGGUGGGGGUCUGCUUCAUGGUGGGAGAUAGUCUGGACCUGCCUGAGGGGCAUGUAGAGCUGGACACACACAGACCCCCCGAGAGAGGUAACAUCACUGCCUCUCUGACCACAAGUCCAGCCUUGUAUUUUGGAAUAUUUAGAAUCCCCUCUUUAAAUGUAAAUAUUCUGUGACAAAGAGAGCUUCCUUUAUCCCACAGUCUUGAAUAAAAUCCUGGACUUGAUAUUCA
rnacentral:lncRNA from 1 species